rnacentral:rRNA from 1 species
UAACCUGCCUAUUAGAGGGGGAUAACUAUUGGAAACGAUAGCUAAUACCGCAUAACAGUAUGUAACACAUGUUAGAUGCUUGAAAGAUGCAAUUGCAUCGCUAGUAGAUGGACCUGCGUUGUAUUAGCUAGUAGGUAGGGUAAUGGCCUACCUGGGCGACGAUACAUAGCCGACCUGAGAGGGUGAUCGGCCACACUGGGACUGAGACACGGCCCAG